AAAGGCUUUGAGUAGGAGAAGUGGCUGUUUCUGUGGCAAGGGGUGCUGGCUGACUCGCUUUGAAUCUGCGCCUUGCUGCACCCUAGAAGCAGCGGGAGGUCCCCUCUCCCACUGGAGGAGUCCUGCCUUGGAAAUCCUCUCUCCCUUCCUAGCAAGCGAUCUACUUCCUAGCUCUCCUGUUUAUUACUGUUUUUAAGCUCUGAAGUCACUGUAGUGAUAGGCAGAUGAGAUGCUAGCAAAACCGGUAGCGGAAUCUCUCCUAUCCAAAAGCACUUGGGUCAUGCAGACCUAGAAAAGUGAGGUCAAGGAGAAGACUGUGGCAGGUAAUGGAUGGGAGGAAGCUGCUCUGUGGCGUCCUCUUGCCUGAGGAAGGAUCUGCAGAGCCCUUCCUCUUCAGAGCACAGAGCCUGUGAGUUUGCAAAAUGCUCCCUCUUGUGGGGACUAAUGGGCUUUUGCAUUUUUUUUUAAACUUCGCACAUCAAGUGGUCUGCAAAAGAACCUCUUGAGAGCAGCUGCUACAUUGCAGAGUGUAGAAGCAUAUCCUAUGGUGUAUACUUAAGCUGUCACGGGGUACAGACACCCCCACACCCGAGUGUAUUCUGCAAGCGCACACUAGAGCACAACACACUCCCUUGCACUUUCUAUCACAGAUGAUCAGUAAUAGCAAACAAUUUUUCCGGUAGGGAAAUUUGUCAGCUAUUGCUCAUCUUCUGACUGAGAAGUUCCCAAAGUUCUUUAAUGCACCAUUUGAAAUCAUCUGCACAAUGACACUAAGCAUCACUUGGAAGUCCACAUCUGGAUCAAAGCAAGUUUUUUGCUCCCUGCUGUGGAAUCGGCGCACAAGUGACCCGCACUGGUGGAAUAUUCACGUAACAGCACUGCAAAAGGAUCUUCUAAACCAGCCCUUAAGAGUGAGGACCAAUGGCUUAAAUCAAACCACUAACUGGGGUGGGGAGGGAGGAAGAAGAGGAGAGUCCCUAUUUCUACUCUCAUCUCUGCUAUGAGGCAUGGAUACAUAUUUUUACAGAAAUAUGUGCGUGAAAAAACAAGACACAAUUGACUGGAUCGGAAGCACAGAGGAGCCUGCUUUGGACAUGAUUCAAGAACUGAGCCUGUACAGAGUGCGGCAACAGCUUAACUAGAUUUCAUAGAUCUGCUCAGGGCAGCUGCUUUGCAAAUGGAAUACAGUAGGUGCAGCUAGGAACUGCAAGGCUUGCCAGGAAGUAGGAAACUCCAGCCUCGCAAGUCCAUUUUUGGUCUCUCUGUAUGGUGCGUACAAUGGGAUGGAGUGGGGGUGUUUGUUUGUGGAAGGGCCAGGUUCCUGAAAAUGCUCUGCCACACGGCAUCCCUGGAGAACCUUCUGCCACCUAGCUUUCUUUAGAGACUAUACACCUGUGUUGUGAGGUGGGUUAAAAGUGUGUCUGUAAUGUACAUCUGUCACAGGCUAAAAAUUAGGCUGUUGCAUGCAAGCCCCUCAAGCUCACAAGUUUCCUGGG